AUUGAACGCUGGCGGCAGGCCUAACACAUGCAAGUCGAGCGGUAGAGAGAAGCUUGCUUCUCUUGAGAGCGGCGGACGGGUGAGUAAUGCCUAGGAAUCUGCCUGGUAGUGGGGGAUAACGUUCGGAAACGGACGCUAAUACCGCAUACGUCCUACGGGAGAAAGCAGGGGACCUUCGGGCCUUGCGCUAUCAGAUGAGCCUAGGUCGGAUUAGCUAGUUGGUGAGGUAAUGGCUCACCAAGGCGACGAUCCGUAACUGGUCUGAGAGGAUGAUCAGUCACACUGGAACUGAGACACGGUCCAGACUCCUACGGGAGGCAGCAGUGGGGAAUAGUGGACAAUGGGCGAAAGCCUGAUCCAGCCAUGCCGCGUGUGUGAAGAAGGUCUUCGGAUUGUAAAGCACUUUAAGUUGGGAGGAAGGGUCGUAGAUUAAUACUCUGCAAUUUUGACGUUACCGACAGAAUAAGCACCGGCUAACUCUGUGCCAGCCGCCGCAGUAA
rnacentral:rRNA from 1 species